rnacentral:tRNA from 1 species
CAGGGAGACAACAAAAUGUUUAAUAUUAUUAUUUUGUCACCUUAGGUCGAUCGGUAUCUCACAUUCUUAAAUAUUAAGAAUUUCAAUUCCUAAGUUUUUCUAGGUCACACCCAUUAUUUUUCCUGGGCCAUUAGCUCAGGUGGUUAGAGCGCACCCCUGAUAAGGGUGAGGUCCCUGGUUCAAGUCCAGGAUGGCCCAUAUCUCUAUGUUGGGGGUAUAGCUCAGUUGGUAGAGCGCCUGCUUUGCAAGCAGGAUGUCAGCGGUUCGAGUCCGCUUACCUCCACUGAUUACCACCUCUUCCAUAAUCUUUUAAAAGGAAAUGUUUUGAGUCGUGAUCAAAUUCUGAACGAAUCUAGCUUCCUAAUGAAUUCAUUAAGAUGCUGGACUCAUUGAAUUAAUUUCAUUGUUUUCAGAGAACCUUGACAACUGCAUAGAUUAUUUUAAAGACAAUAAGCAUCUUAAAUGAUGCAGAUUUAUUAUUUGUGCGAAUGCAUUAAUAACAAUUCUAUUGAGCUGAUGCUUCAAAUUUGAAGUUAUU